UACGUAGGGGUGCGAGCGUUGUCCGGAAUUACUGGGCGUAAAGAGCUCGUAGGUGGUUUGUCGCGUUGUUCGUGAAAUCUCACGGCUUAACUGUGAGCGUGCGGGCGAUACGGGCAGACUUGAGUACUGCAGGGGAGACUGGAAUUCCUGGUGUAGCGGUGGAAUGCGCAGAUAUCAGGAGGAACACCGGUGGCGAAGGCGGGUCUCUGGGCAGUAACUGACGCUGAGGAGCGAAAGCGUGGGGAGCGAACAGG
rnacentral:rRNA from 1 species